GUGCUCGCUUCGGCAGCACAUAUACAAAAA
rnacentral:snRNA from 1 species